AGUGAGCGCUGGCGGCGUGCUUAACACAUGCAAGUCGAACGAGAACGGAUUAUAGCUUGCUAUAAUUGUCAGCUAAGUGGCGCACGGGUGAGUAAUGUAUAGGUAAUAUGCCUCUUACUAAGGGAUAACAAAUGGAAACGUUUGCUAAUACCUUAUACUCCUUAUUAACCUAAGUUAAUAAGGGAAAGAUUUAUUGGUAAGAGAUUAGCCUGUAUUGUAUCAGUUAGUUGGUGGGGUAAUGGCUUACCAAGACUAUGACACAUAACUGGUUUGAGAGGAUGAUCAGUCACACUGGAACUGAGACACGGUCCAGACUCCUACGGGAGGCAGCAGUGGGGAAUAUUGCACAAUGGACGAAAGUCUGAUGCAGCAACGCCGCGUGGAGGAUGACACAUUUCGGUGCGUAAACUCCUUUUAUAUGAGAAGAUGAUGACGGUAUUAUAUGAAUAAGCACCGGCUAACUCCGUGCCAGCAGCCGCCGUAA
rnacentral:rRNA from 1 species